ensembl:lncRNA
AGCCUGUGUUGGUGGGUAGAGGAAGCAUGAUGGAACAGCCUGUGUUGGUGGGUAGAGGAAGCAUGAUGGAACAGCCUGUGUUGGUGAGGAAGCAUGAUGGAACAGCCUGUGUUGAUGGGUAGAGGAAGCAUGAUGGAACAGCCUGUGUUGGUGGGUAGAGGAAGCAUGAUGGAACAGCCUGUGUUGGUGGGUAGAGGAAGCAUGAUGGAACAGCCUGUGUUGGUGGGUAGAGGAAGCAUGAUGGAACAGCCUGUGUUGGUGGUGGGUAGAGGAAGCAUGAUGGAACAGCCUGUGUUGGUGGGUAGAGGAAGCAUGAUGGAACAGCCUGUGUUG